UACGAAGGGGGCUAGCGUUGUUCGGAAUUACUGGGCGUAAAGCGUACGUAGGCGGCUUCUUAAGUUAGGGGUGAAAGCCCAGGGCUCAACCCUGGAAAUGCCCUUAAGACUGGGAAGCUUGAACACGGGAGAGGUGAGUGGAAUUCCGAGUGUAGAGGUGAAAUUCGUAGAUAUUCGGAGGAACACCAGUGGCGAAGGCGGCUCACUGGACCGUAGUUGACGCUGAGGUACGAAAGCGUGGGGAGCAAACAGG
rnacentral:rRNA from 1 species